UACGGGGGGGGCAAGCGUUGUUCGGAAUUACUGGGCGUAAAGGGUUUGUAGGUGGCUCGCUAAGUCAGACGUGAAAUCCCUCAGCUUAACUGGGGAACUGCGUCUGAAACUGAUGAGCUUGAGUGCAGGAGAGGAACGCGGAAUUCCAGGUGUAGCGGUGAAAUGCGUAGAUAUCAGGAAGAACACCCGUGGCUAAGGCGGCUCUCUAGUACGGUACUGACGCUGAGACGCGAAAGCGUGGGGAGCGAACAGG
rnacentral:rRNA from 1 species